rnacentral:lncRNA from 1 species
UGUCCUGCAAGCGAGCCUCGGGACCUGGGUUCUCUGUGACGUCCUGGCCUUCAGCUAAGGAGCAUGUUGGCAUGGGAUGUGGGAAAUGGCAAGACCCCAGAAAUGGACAGAUAGAAGGAAAGACGGCUGCUAAGCAGACAUUAUGCUACACAGAGUCCAGGCCAGCCCAUGUCGCAGAGCGGUUACUUACAUUAAGAAAGGAUUCUGUGUCAAGUGUUUGAGUUAAUUUCUACCUCUUAGGAUCGAGGAAGUAGGGUUUAAUAUUUCCAUGUAGGGAGAGGAACACCCAGGCUCAGGGAAGUAACUGACCUACUCUCGCGUGGUUCCAGAGGUGGAUUUUCGGACACCAAAGUCGCUCUCCCACCCUGAAGGUCCCAUUCAAGCCAGAGCCGGAGUGUAAGGUCAUGGAUUCUCCCACUCGCUUGCCCUAGGGGUUAAAUUGUACACUGCCCCUGUUAAGGCAUAUCCAGGACUUUAAAGGUCUCCCUGUUGGCCAACACUAACCUGGGAUGGUGAAGUCAGGAUAAUGAAUUCCCUUCACUUACCCUUCAGAGAACUGUGAAGUGUGCUCAGCCAGGGCCAGCCUCGGUCUGACUGAUGGUGUCCCCAACGUACCAACAUUUUGGCCUCCUGUGGUCACAUGAGCCAGAAUGUGCAUACAUCCACAAGACCAUCCUGGGGCCAACGUUUCCAUGUUUGAACACAAUAAAAAAAUUUCAAGAUGGCUCUAGAACAGAGGUCAAUAUACUUAUUUUCAAGAUAGUAAAUAUAUUUGGAUUUGUGGUUCAUAUGAUCUCUAAGGGCUCAACGUCGCUUUUGUAGUGCCAAUAGCACGGACUAUGCAUAGGAGAAAUAGUGUGUUUGUGUCCCAAUAAAUCCUGUUUACAAAAACAUGUGGCAGGCCACACACCUAUUAGAAUAGCCAAAAUACAGAACACUGACGUUAUGGUUUAGAUCCAGAAUGUCCCCAAAAUUCUUACAGGAGUGGCUUCUGGAAGGUGAUUUGAUCAAGGUGGCUUAUACUAUUACUAAUGAAUUCAGCAACUGAGUGGGCAGAUGGGAGCUGGUCACUGACUGAGAAGACUUUAUCCCCCCACCCCUCCCCAGAUCCUCCCUCCUUUCUCUGCUUUCUGGCUCCCAUGAUGUG